UGCAAUAUGUUUAAUGCCAGGCACCACCCUCUUUUUUCCCCAUUUACACUUAUCAGACUGGAACUAUACCAUUGCAAAGUAUUCAUGGGCCUAUAUGACAUUUUCGUAUUACAAGUUUUAUUUAUUUAACUAUUAAAAUGUGCAAAUGAGGCAAAACUUUUUACAUUUUCAUAUUACCAUAUGUUUUUCAACACAUUAUUUCAAGGCAGAAUUGUUUUUAUUUUCUACUGUGUUAAGACACCCAAUGGUCAGACAUGUACCCCAGACAGCAGCUGACUCCGCGGCGGAUCCACCGUUGUUAUGAAACAAGAAUGACUCAUCUUUCAGUAAACAACAUCACUUCUACAAAGGAUAUAGACAUGUAUGGACUGGCGAACAAUAUGCUCUCAAAAUUAAGCUUUUAAUUAAAUGACGUAUGAUUCACCAAAGUUUUUAAAAAUAGCUUUUGAAUGUCUACAUAAAACAUGCUGACAAUAACAACAUUUAUUCAAAGGGUAGUUGUGGGAGUUGGAAUAAAAUGUUAUAAAUCA